AUAGCAGAAUGAUGCUUAUAUAACAUAGACAUUGAUUAUUCUCCACUAGGAUGAUUUGAAGCUAAAUGGUUACAGGUUUGGUUCUGUAACUCAACCUUGUCACCAAAGUCCUAGCAUUAUGUCACCUAUUCUCUGAGUUAUCAGGGCGUUUAUGUCAUCUUCACUUCUUGGCUGCUACAAAGAGAACAUACAAAUAUCACAAACAGAUACAGCUUUGUAGAAAAUAAUUGUCCUACAUAGCAUCUGCCUUCUCACUUGACCUUUCUCCACUCUGUGGCAUAGAAGACAUGGACUACAUCAGAGAGACUUCUGGCACAACUAUCAAGAAAGAAAAUUUACAAUGCAAUGUUCACCAACAGUUAGCUAUACUGAUUAAUCAUUCUGAG
rnacentral:lncRNA from 1 species